rnacentral:ncRNA from 1 species
UUCCCUCAGAAGUUCCCUUCAGUAUAGUUGCGGUACGCAAUGAAGCUGUUACAUUCGGUAAAGCGAAUGAUUAGAGGAAUUGUGGGACGAAACGUCUUUAAUCUAUUCUCAAACUUUCAAUGAGUAUGACGUCUUGCUUG